GAUGAACGCUAGCGGCAGGCUUAACACAUGCAAGUCGAGGGGUAACAUAGAAGAGCUUGCUUUUCUGAUGACGACCGGCGCACGGGUGCGUAACGCGUAUGGAACCUACCUCUUACUGGGGGAUAGCCCGAAGAAAUUCGGAUUAAUACCCCAUAGUAUUAUUUAAUCGCAUGAUUUGAAUAAUUAAAGGUUACGGUAAGAGAUGGCCAUGCGUCCCAUUAGCUAGAUGGUAAGGUAACGGCUUACCAUGGCAACGAUGGGUAGGGGGCCUGAGAGGGUGAUCCCCCACACUGGUACUGAGACACGGACCAGACUCCUACGGGAGGCAGCAGUGAGGAAUAUUGGGCAAUGGAGGCAACUCUGACCCAGCCAUGCCGCGUGAAGGAAGAAGGUUCUAUGGAUCGUAAACUUCUUUUAUUUGGGAAUAAACCUUUCUACGUGUAGAAAGCUGAAGGUACCAAACGAAUAAGCACCGGCUAACUCCG
rnacentral:rRNA from 1 species